ACUUGGACAAAACGAUGCUUAUUCUGGAUUUUAUUUUUUUUGUUAACUUUCUUUAUGUUAAUCAGCACUUGAGAUGCCAAUGAUUCUGCUUUUAACCAAAACAACAUGUUUGCCUUUUCUUUGAAUCAGAUGUGGAUUUUUGGCACAACUGAUGGGGAUCCUCGUUUUAACGCUUCUGAAGUGGCCAUAGUGCUCCUCCUCUAUGUGUAAGGUUCUAUGGUAAUGGGAGGCACAUUUUGUCUGCUGGACAGGAUCGUGCUUUUCGGCUUUUCUCUGUCAUCCAGGUUUGAUCUCAAACCAUCCUCUUCCUCUCGGAUGAUGUUUGUUCUUUUUCUUGUUUGUUUAUCGAUUUUAUUACUUAAUUCAUAGACUUGAAUAUGCGUUGCCUUCCAUGUAGCGCUACAUUCAAUUUCUUUUAUGUUAAGAAGUCAUAAUUUCUAUUGUGUGCAGGAUUUACAUCACUUCAACCUAAAUUUAGACCAUAUAGAGGAUUUGUUUUUGUUUUUUAAUUCAAGACCAUUUUCAAUUUAUUGUAAUAAAUAUUAUAUUUUUUUAUUGUGCAGUAAUAUAAAUUUUGUUUAAUAUUCAGUUUUAAUUGUAUUACAUCAUUUUUUAUGUUUCAAA